rnacentral:rRNA from 1 species
GAUCGCUAGUAACCGUGGAUCAGAAUGUCACGGUGAAUACGUUCCCGGGCCUUGUACACACCGCCCGUCACACCAUGGGAGUGGACUGCACCAGAAGUGGUUAGCUUAACCUUCGGGAGAGCGAUCACCACGGUGUGGUUCAUGACUGGGGUGAAGUCGUAACAAGGUAGCCGUAGGGGAACCUGCGGCUGGAUCACCUCCUUA